rnacentral:tRNA from 1 species
GCAGUGGUGGUUCAGUGGUAGAAAUCGUGCCUUACAUGCAGGAGACCCGGGUUUGAUUCACGACCUAUGCA